rnacentral:rRNA from 1 species
UGUGAGGUCGGGCCGGGGGCCGCGGUAAGACGAGCCGUGCGAGCGUUGUUCGGAAUGACUGGGCUGAAAGGGCGCGUAGGCGGCUUGUCAAGUCGGGGGUGAAAUCCGGCAGCUUAACUGUCGAAGUGCCUUCGAUACUGACAAGCUCGAGGGAGGUAGGGGUCUGUGGAACUUCUGGUGGAGCGGUGAAAUGCGUUGAUAUCAGAAGGAACGCCGGUGGCGAAAGCGACGGACUGGAUCUCUUCUGACGCUGAGGCGCGAAAGCUAGGGUAGCGAACGGGAUUAGAUUCCCGGGUAGUC